AUGGCGCGAGAGCUGCCUUCUUUUGUUUCCUCUCCCGAUUUAGUCUUCCUCUCGGACGAUGAGGGAGAAAGGGAGGUAAUCAAGACUGAGGAUUCAGACUGCGGCGGCGACACGCAUGUCUACCUCAGCUCUGACGAGGAGGACGACGCGGUCUACGCCGAUGAUGGCUCCUCCUACGCCAACUGCAAAGCCGCAUCUGCGGCUGCCACGUCUUUGGCCACGGCGAGCUGCACCGACUAUGGCGACGACAACCCCAACGGCGGCGACUCUAAUGGGGACGGCAACGACAACAACAACUACUUCGACGACAACGACAACGACUCUGAAGAUGGCGGUGACGACGCCAGCAAUUUUUCGUCGGCCGCCACAAGUAAGUCGCCAAAAGCCCCAUACAAUUAUUGGCAUCCCACCGACCUCUGCACCCUCGUGGAAAUAGAUGGGCAGCUCCUCAAGGAUUUUGAUGGCGCGACAGUACCAUCGUCUGUGCUCUAUGAGGCGUUUAUGGAGGAUCCACGGCCGAUCCGCCGUGGCGGGCUGACCUCAAGAAAAAUCUCAUACAAAAGGUGUCAGUUAAAGAGAAAGUUUCGUGCCUUCUGCAAGUUGGAUCCCAGGCGUGCCUUCUGCACGUGUCGCACGGGUCAAGAACGCAAGUUUUACACCUGCUGCAUGGAGGCGUGGCCUGAUAUUGUAGAAGAGGGCCGUGUCUGGCUUGCUAAUAAGAAGUAA
rnacentral:rRNA from 1 species